GGGGAUUUAGCUCAGUGAUAGAGCACUUGCCUAGCAAGCGCAAGGCCCUGGGUUCAGUCCCCA
rfam:Rattus norvegicus chromosome 10, whole genome shotgun sequence.